rnacentral:rRNA from 1 species
CGUAAGGACAUGUGGAGCGCUUAGAAGUGAGAAUGCCGGUAUGAGUAGCGAAAGACGGGUGAGAAUCCCGUCCACCGAAUAACUAAGGUUUCCUGGGGAAGGCUCGUCCUCCCAGGGUUAGUCGGGACCUAAGGCGAGGCCGAUAGGCGUAGUCGAUGGACAACAGGUUGAUAUUCCUGUACUUCUAUAAAUCGUUUGAGCAAUGGAGGGACGCAGGAGGCUAAGAAAAGCGUACGACUGGAAGUGUACGCCCAAGCAGUGAGUCGGCUGAUGAGUCAAAUGCUUAUCACGGAUGCGACAAGCUGUAACGGGGAGGGAAGUUUAGUACCGAAGUUUCUGAUGUCACACUGCCGAGAAAAGCUUCUAGCAAGAUUUAUAGGACCCGUACCGCAAACCGACACAGGUAGUUGAGGAGAGAAUCCUAAGGUGAGCGAGCGAACUCUCGUUAAGGAACUCGGCAAAAUGACCCCGUAACUUCGGGAGAAGGGGUGCUGGUAGCAAUACCAGCCGCAGUGAAUAGGCCCAGGCGACUGUUUAUCAAAAACACAGGUCUCUGCAAAAUCGAAAGAUGACGUAUAGGGGCUGACGCCUGCCCGGUGCUGGAAGGUUAAGAGGAGAGGUUAGCGCAAGCGAAGCUUUGAAUUGAAGCCCCAGUAAACGGCGGCCGUAACUAUAACGGUCCUAAGGUAGCGAAAUUCCUUGUCGGGUAAGUUCCGACCCGCACGAAAGGCGUAACGAUUUGGGCACUGUCUCAACGAGGGACUCGGUGAAAUCAUAGUACCUGUGAAGAUGCAGGUUACCCGCGACAGGACGGAAAGACCCCAUGGAGCUUUACUGUAGUUUGAUAUUGAGUGUUUGUGUCACAUGUACAGGAUAGGUAGGAGCUGAAGAAUCCGGGACGCCAGUUUCGGAGGAGGCAACGGUGGGAUACUACCCUUGUGACAUGACCACUCUAACCCGCACCCCUUACCGGGGUGGGAGACAGUGUCAGACGGGCAGUUUGACUGGGGCGGUCGCCUCCUAAAGUGUAACGGAGGCGCCCAAAGGUUCCCUCAGAAUGGUUGGAAAUCAUUCGAAGAGUGUAAAGGCAGAAGGGAGCUUGACUGCGAGACCUACAAGUCGAGCAGGGACGAAAGUCGGGCUUAGUGAUCCGGUGGUUCCGCAUGGAAGGGCCAUCGCUCAACGGAUAAAAGCUACCCUGGGGAUAACAGGCUUAUCUCCCCCAAGAGUUCACAUCGACGGGGAGGUUUGGCACCUCGAUGUCGGCUCAUCGCAUCCUGGGGCUGUAGUCGGUCCCAAGGGUUGGGCUGUUCGCCCAUUAAAGCGGUACGCGAGCUGGGUUCAGAACGUCGUGAGACAGUUCGGUCCCUAUCCGUCGCGGGCGUAGGAAAUUUGAGAGGAUCUGUCCUUAGUACGAGAGGACCGGGAUGGACAUACCGCUGGUGUACCAGUUGUUCCGCCAGGAGCAUCGCUGGGUAGCUAUGUAUGGAUGAGAUAAACGCUGAAAGCAUCUAAGCGUGAAACUCGCCUCAAGAUGAGAUUUCCCAUUCCUUAUGGAAGUAAGACCCCUCAGAGAUGAUGAGGUAGAUAGGAUGGAAGUGGAAGUGUCGCGAGGCAUGGAGCGGACCAUUACUAAUCGGUCGAGGACUUAACCAA